rnacentral:rRNA from 1 species
UACGUAGGGUGCGAGCGUUGUCCGGAAUUAUUGGGCGUAAAGGGCUCGUAGGCGGUUUGUCGCGUCGGGAGUGAAAAUCCAGGGCUUAACUCUGGACUGGCUUCCGAUACGGGCAGACUAGAGGUAUGCAGGGGAGAACGGAAUUCCUGGUGUAGCGGUGAAAUGCGCAGAUAUCAGGAGGAACACCGGUGGCGAAGGCGGUUCUCUGGGCCGAUACUGACGCUGAGGAGCGAAAGCGUGGGGAGCGAACAGG